UAUAGGGAGCCCCAAACCUAACGCUUUCCCUAACCUUAACCGCGAGUGGAAGUGACGCCCCCUUUUGGAGUUGGUGCAACACCCUUUUGGAGUAACCCCACCCCAUUUUGGAGUAACUCCACCCUCUUUCAGAGAUUCCACCCCCAUUUGGAGGUCUCCAGACAGCAGCUACUCCUACUUGCUUCGCAGGGUGGGCUGGAACGCCGACAGGGGGUGCUGCAGCACUCUCAGAACCCCCACCCGUGGCUAUGCUCUUCUUGUUGACCGUUCCAAGAUGGCGCCGCGGUUAACAUAUCCAAACAAGCCGAAUGAGGCAUCCACGAUUGGGCCGUGUUGGAAUCAGCUACUCCAUGUGAUUGGUGCGUGUCGGAGAGUCUGGCCUAUUUAAAUGGAAUGUGCUGCUCAGGAGGAGACUGUUUCCGAGGCCAGGGUGUAGCCCGGAUGGUCAUAUCUAUUUGUACAGCUUUUCCUCUGUGUAGUGGUGCUGUUGCUGGUGUUUAAAAUCAAUUUUGAAUUUAUUGUUGUUAGGGUGUGAGCUAAUGUGUUCCAGAGUUAAAGUGUGUGUUAACUUUGAUCAACAAUUGUGAUGGCUAGUGAGCCAUAGCUCUUUACCAGACUCAUUGUGAGAGUCUAGUUAAUCUUAAAUAGGAAGCUGUAGGAGGUAAGGGCCCUUUUCUUUAUUCCUGUAAUGUAAUUUUCUCUUGUUUAUUUAGUUAAGGAGAUAACUUUUAUUUUAUUUUUUUAUUUUUUUUUUAAUUAGGAAAUUUAUGUCUUA